UCCCUAAUUCCUCACAGUAGUGGAAAACACAAACAUCCAAGAAACCCCUAGUUUUGCAAAAGACCCGGUUGUUCGCCAAGGCCUGAGUUCCCAUUCCCUCAAUGCACCACCUGCGCUACCCCACCGCCGCCCAAGAACGGCAAUGGCUCGACGAGGUUCUCCACCUUCACAGCCUAUGGCGCCGAGGCCCUCCCCGGAACCAUCUCUCUCCCCCUCCACCACCUCGUUCUCAUCUUGCUGUCACCGCCGUCUCCCAGAACCCAGAAAACAAGAUUAACAAGAGAAAAGGGAGGAGGAAGAAGGAGCAAUCAAGGCAGAGGCGGAAGGAGCAUCAGCAGCAUCAGCAGCAGCAGCAGCAGCAGCAGCAGCAGAAGGUCUCUCCCUCUGCCCCUGAUACUCUUGUGGUGGAGGAAGAGUGGCCUUGCUUGCCUUCGCCGACGUCGAAGCCAGAGUUCUCCAAUUGGCCUAAUCCCGUCACAGAGAAGAGGAAGAACUUGUUGCUUUCUGCUGAUGAUCAGGCGAGGGCCGAUGCGGUGCGGGUGCAAGAGAGUGGUAUCAGGACGUCAUGCGAAUUCUUCAGUAAAUCGAGUUCCAGCGAUGAUGGGGAUGAUGAUGAUGAUGAUGAUGAUGAGGAUGAGGAGGAUGUGAUGGAGGAGGACGAGUAUGAGGAGGAUGAUGCCGAGGCUAGAGCUUUUAGGUUUUUUUUGGGUUUGUUUGAGAAGGAUGGGGCAUUGAGGAGAUAUUAUGAGAAGAAUUGGGAGAAGGGGGAGUUUUUCUGUUUUGUUUGCAGGGCUACGGGGAUGAAGGUUGGAAAGAGGUUCCUCAAUUGUGUUGGGUUGGUUCAACACUCAAAGUCCAUUUCGAAGACGAAGAGGAGAGAGGCGCACCGAGGAUUUGCCAAUGCUGUUUGCAGAGUCAUGGGUUGGGACAUGGAGAGGCUUCCAAGCAUUGUUCUUGAUUUAAAGGACUCGCUUGGCCAGUCAUUAGCUAAGGCUGACAAAUUCCAGAUACAGGAGAGAAUAUGUGAAGGGGCUUCUUUUGACAUGAGCAAACAGGUUGCAGAGGUAGCUGCUGUGACUGUAGAGACUGUAAAAGAAGUGGUGGGUUCUUCUCCGAGCAGGGGAAUUGAAUCUUUAAUAGAGGGGCAGGGGAUGCAUGAGCAAUCUUCCUCUGACAUAAAAGAAGUUGUUAACGCAGAGUCGAACAAACAAGUUCCAGUGAGCUCUUCUCCAUUAAGGGAUAUGGAAGCUUUUCCUGAGGAGGGUAAACAUAAGGAUGGUCCUUCUAAGAUGACGGAAGAGGUUCCUAAGGAAGUUGUUACCAAAGAAGGAGAUCAAGAAGAUUUGGCGAACUCCUCUCCAGCUGGGAACAUGGAUGCUUUACCAGAGGAGGAGAAAAUACAUGAGAAUGGUUCUUCUGACAUGAAUAAAGAGAUCACUAACAAAAUAGUUGAUGUACAGACAAAUAUAAAAUGAUCCCCUGAGCUCUUCUCCAACUAAGGGCAUGUAAUCUUUGGCGGAGGGAAUCAUGCAAAAAUAUUUUAUUGAUGGGAAAGAUAUUCUUCCAAAUGAAGAUAAUAUGCUUGCAGAAUAGUGAUAGAUGGGUUGUGUGGAUGUAAGGGAGGUUGAGAUUUAACAAAGGAAGAAAUUGCUGAUGAGUUAGGGAAAUGUUAAACUGAAGUUGGUUGCCUGAGAAAACUGGAUCAUGGGAUCACUAACUUUUUUUGUGCAUCCUGUUACAUAUGGAUUUUGCACCAAUUAUGAGCAUAUCUCAUUUGCUUAGUGCUGUUCCUGCAAAGAAAUUAGUUUUGUUUGGCCUCAGCAAUGGACAUGCUUCUUGAUGUUGUAUUUUUUUUUUUUAAUCCUGAAAAUUGUAUUUAAGCAUUUAUUUUGACUUUUUUUCAGGAAUGCUGCAUCAAGUGUACUUCUCAUUUAUGUUUUGUACUUGUUUACUUAUAUGGUUUGCUAAC